UACGGAGGGUGCAAGCGUUAUCCGGAUUCACUGGGUUUAAAGGGUGCGUAGGUGGGUUUGUAAGUCAGUGGUGAAAUCUCCAGGCUUAACCUGGAAACUGCCAUUGAUACUAUAGAUCUUGAAUUUUCUGGAGGUAAGCGGAAUAUGUCAUGUAGCGGUGAAAUGCUUAGAUAUGACAUAGAACACCAAUUGCGAAGGCAGCUUACUACACAGU
rnacentral:rRNA from 1 species